rnacentral:rRNA from 1 species
AGUGAACGCUGGCGGUAGGCCUAACACAUGCAAGUCGAACGGCAGCACAGUAAGAGCUUGCUCUUACGGGUGGCGAGUGGCGGACGGGUGAGGCAUACAUAGGAAUCUACUUUUUCGUGGGGGAUAACGUAGGGAAACUUACGCUAAUACCGCAUACGACCUACGGGUGAAAUCAGGGGAUCUUAGGACCUUGCGCGAUUGAAUGUGCCGGUGUCGGAUUAGCUAGUUGGCGGGGUAAAGGCCCACCAAGGCGACGAUCCGUAGACGACCUGAGAGGAUGAUCGGCCACAUUGGGAAUGAGACACGGACCAAACGACUAAGGGAGGCAGCAGUAGGGAAGCUUCCGCAAUGGACGCAAGUCUGACGGAGCAAAGCAGCGUGAGUGAAGAAGGUUUUCGGAUCGUAAAACUCUGUUGUUAGAGAAGAAUAAGUGCUAGAGUAAAUGUUAGCGCCUUGACGGUAUCUAACCAGAAAGAAACGGCUAACUAAGUG